rnacentral:rRNA from 1 species
GACGAACGCUGGCGGCGUGCUUAACACAUGCAAGUCGAACGGAAAGGCCCUGCUUUUGUGGGGUGCUCGAGUGGCGAACGGGUGAGUAACACGUGAGUAACCUGCCCUUGACUUUGGGAUAACUUCAGGAAACUGGGGCUAAUACCGGAUAGGAGCUCCUGCUGCAUGGUGGGGGCUGGAAAGUUUCGGCGGUUGGGGAUGGACUCGCGGCUUAUCAGCUUGUUGGUGGGGUAGUGGCUUACCAAGGCUUUGACGGGUAGCCGGCCUGAGAGGGUGACCGGCCACAUUGGGACUGAGAUACGGCCCAGACUCCUACGGGAGGCAGCAGUGGGGAAUAUUGCACAAUGGGCGGAAGCCUGAUGCAGCAACGCCGCGUGCGGGAUGGCGGCCUUCGGGUUGUAAACCGCUUUCGCCUGUGACGAAGCGUGAGUGACGGUAAUGGGUAAAGAAGCACCGGCUAACUACGUG